UACGAAGGGGGCUAGCGUUGCUCGGAAUCACUGGGCGUAAAGGGUGCGUAGGCGGGUUUUAAGUCAGGGUGAAAUCCUGGAGCUCAACUCCAGAACUGCCUUUGAUACUGAAGAUCUUGAGUCCGGGAGAGGUGAGUGGAACUGCGAGUGUAGAGGUGAAAUGCGUAGAUAUCGUAAGGAAGACCAGUGGCGAAGGCGGGUCUCUGGACAGUUCCGUGACGCUGAGGCACGGAAGGUCAGGGGAGACAAACG
rnacentral:rRNA from 1 species